CUACGGGGCGCAGCAUUGGUUACUAUUUCCCAAUUUUUUUCCCCCUGAUGCAGCGACGCCGCGUGAGUGAAGAAGUAUUUCGGUAUGUAAAGCUCUAUCAGCAGGGAAGAAAAUGACGGUACCUGACCAAGAAGCCCCGGCUAACUACGUGCCAGCAGCCGCGGUAAUACGUAGGGGGCAAGCGUUAUCCGGAUUUACUGGGUGUAAAGGGAGCGUAGACGGCAGCACAAGUCUGGAGUGAAAUCCCGGGGCUUAACCCCGGAACUGCUUUGGAAACUGUGCGGCUGGAGUGCAGGAGGGGUAAG
rnacentral:rRNA from 1 species